GACGAACGCUGGCGGCGUGCUUAACACAUGCAAGUCGAAUGAUGAACCCGGAGCUUGCUCCGGCGGAUUAGUGGCGAACGGGUGAGUAACACGUGAGUAACCUGCCCUUGACUCUGGGAUAACUGCGGGAAACUGUAGCUAAUACCGGAUACGACCCUCGGCGGCAUCGCCAGGGGGUGGAAAGAAUUUCGGUCAAGGAUGGACUCGCGGCCUAUCAGCUAGUUGGUGAGGUAACGGCUCACCAAGGCGACGACGGGUAGCCGGCCUGAGAGGGUGACCGGCCACACUGGGACUGAGACACGGCCCAGACUCCUACGGGAGGCAGCAGUGGGAAUAUUGCACAAUGGGCGCAAGCCUGAUGCAGCAACGCCGCGUGAGGGAUGACGGCCUUCGGGUUGUAAACCUCUUUUAGUAGGGAAGAAGCGAAAGUGACGGUACCUGCAGAAAAAGCACCGGCUAACUACGUGCCAGCCGCCGCCGUAA
rnacentral:rRNA from 1 species